rnacentral:lncRNA from 1 species
CCCUAUUGAACAGCUACCCCAUUUCCGUAAACGCUCUCUACUCUCUCAUCUGCCCAGCUCACAUCAAUCUCUAAACCUUGCAAAAAUUAGUGCAAGAUCAACAAAUCAACCUCAACUCGUCCCUUUUGUCCUCCCCAACCGCGAAUCCCGCUGGGUUCUUCCCCAUUUCCUCACUUAGAUUCAAAAUGCUUAAAAUCGAAAACCCUAGCUAAAGAAUGCAACUUCAAAUCGUUCAAUCCUUCUUAUGCUCCAUCAAAUCGAAGCAUGCAUGGAGCUCUUUUAGAGUUUCAUCAUGAGAAUUUGUUACCCAGAGGUCAAACGCAGUGACCUCUUUAUUUUAGAGUUUCACCUGAUGGGUCUUCGCCUUCAACGAUCGACUUCUCUCCUCUCAAGUAAAAACUAUCACUGCUCUCACCUCUAUUCUCUCUGAUUUCACUCGAUGUUGCUCACAUCAUCAACUCUCUGUCACUCUCCACUAUCAUUUUGAAUCUGUGAAACCCUAAGGCAUUGAAUGCAACUAUAAAAUUGGUAUUCAAUGCCCUUACCAAACAGACAAUCGAAUACCAUCUGAAUACAAAAAGAAAGAAAAGAAAAAGUAAAAUUUAAGGUUUUCCCACUCUUUACUGUUUUUGUUUCCGGUCCUGAGGUCAAUUGUUAUACUGGUCUUGAGUAUUGGAUCUUUAAGUAGAUAUUGAAUCACUCUCAUUUUGUUUGAUGCCUAGCAGAAGGUCAGUUUACACUGACCCUCCCUUUAUUUCGAUUAUCCGUGUUGUUCUGUGCUUACCAUGUCUUCUUCUGUUGAUUAUCUUUCAUUCAUGAUAUAUGUUAGUAGUUUGUGAUUGAUUGUUAGGUUUUGCUCCUAUAUGUAAUCCUUAUUAUUUGGGUUAAUCAUUUCCUGAUAAUUUGUGUUAGUAUGGUUUGUUAAUCUAUGUUAAUGAACCUCAUGACAUAACUGGAUAAAUAGUUAUUAGUAGUGAAUGAUAUGAAUUCUUCUGUGCCUUUGUCAUCGUUUAGGGAUCCUCCGAUGAUUUUAUGUGUGCUUGUUAACUAUAAUACCAUGUUUAGUUAGCUUGAUCAAUUUGAGCUCUUAGACACUUCUUAAUGUUCAGUCGAGGGUUGAGGUCGGUUACAACUGUGCUACGUUAGUUCUUGGGUCAGUAAUGGUAUACCAUCUGUUAAUAUGUCUAAAAAUGAUCUCCUUCGUAGUAUUCAUGUCAUGCACAUUUAACAUGUCUUCUUGGACUGAGUGAUCUGUUGCUAAAACUAUGCCUAUUGUACACAUUUUAAAGCUUACAUGAUUUGAACCCCUGUAAUCAAUUCAUCAGUUUAGCCAUUAUGUUGUCUGCUCAUUUGAUAUUUCCUGUAAUUAUGAAAUCCUGUAGAAACUUCCUUGUGUAUAAGUUGAGUGAAGUCUAUUGAACUUCCAUGCUUUUGUUGGCCCAGUUGUGCUCGUGAACUUCCUAUUUACUCUCAUUUAGGAAAGACUCUUGCCUAAGCUAUUGCACUCUUAACUUGAGAUCUCCUUAUAGAACAGAAGUUAAACCAUGCCAGCUUUAACAACUUAACAGUGUGGGAUCUGAAAUGGAAGUCUGCUAUUGUCACUUAUAGACCUAAACAAGUCCUGAUGCUUACCUGUCCUGUUAGAAUGAACACCCCUACCCAUUGUCUUACACUUGGUUGAUAUCUUUACUUAUAAAAACAGGGUUGGAUAUUGGUUGAAGAACCAUAUUAUUAAAUUAGAGAUAGCUUAAAAUUGACUUUCCUGCCUAUGUAGAUACCUCUGUUGAUUGCUGCUACUUCUAUGGAAUCUGAUCAAGACUGUUAAUAAAAGUAUCUAGUAUAAUGAGACCUCAAUUGUGAGUGACUGUUGGAAUGCUAUAAACAUAGUUAAGGAUUCUUGAAAGAUUAAACCUGCUAGUAGAACUAAUGAAGUUAACAUGCCUGUUUUCCCUACCUCUUCGAUCACCUAUCUCAUGAUUUUUGACUUAGACUAGUUUACUGAUGGUUGCCAUGAACUCUUCAUGUUCUACAUCUGAUGAUUAAUCCCCAUUAAUGAUCUAGUACAUGUUUUAAAUGAAUACUGAAUAUCCUUGGACAUUUUUAGUACCUGCAGUAAUUGACCUUUCCCUGUUGUGUUCUGAUUUUAAGGUCAAUGUUGUAAUUCCUAAAGUGUUCAUGUCUUUGCAUUUUGCUUCUAUUCUCUGUAGCCUACCGCUUCUCUCAUUUCAGCUAUUGAGUGAAUAUCUCUUUUGUAUCUAGACCUUUGGGGAAGAGUAAGUGUGAGUGAUUAAGGGUAUUUGGGUGGGACCUAGUUUGGGGUUAGGUGCCCUUUUCUGACACAAGUAUUGCUCGUGGUCCUUGAGAACCUUGUGAACUCUGAAGUGCUAGAGAUUCCAAGGGUACCUUGUCCAUAAAUAACGUCUUAUCCUAAGCUCUUGAUCACUGACUCUCAUUAAUCCUCUUAGGAUUAAUACAAAUAGAACUUUUUUUUACUCUAAUAGUGUCUGUUUAUUACAAUCUUAUCUUAUUGGGCCUCAUAUUGGCUCUACUAUACUCUUAAUCACAUUUGUAUGAUAUUGUUUAUUGGUCCUCAAGUAGCAUCACUAAUGUCUCUCUUUUCAUUUGCAUAUAUGAUCGAACUAGGCCUACUGAGUUCUCUAAAACUCAGGCCCAAGUUCCCGCCCAGAGUCUGUACUGCUGAAGCCUCG